rnacentral:tmRNA from 1 species
GGGGACGCGUGGUUUCGACAGAAAGAUCACCGCUCGAUUGCGGGUCGUGGCGCCGUGCACCACGUAAAAAGCGGCAAAAAAAUAAACGGCGAACGAGAAUUCGCUCUCGCUGCCUAAAGCGCAGUGACUUUCGCGUCACCCCCAGCCUGGCGGGGUGGUAACGAGAGAUGAAAUGCCGGGCUACGUUGUUCGGGUAGCUAGUGACGGACAACAAAGGAUCCACUAGCUAGUCACUGCAUUUGCUACGCCGACGGGGCGGGUGCGGCGACGAGAUAUCCACCGACGGCUACACUCGUAGAAGUCAAACCGGGAACCUUUCUGGACGGGGAGUUCGACUCUCCCCCGUCUCCACCA